GCAUUUGUGCCAGAUAAAUGGGUGGGUUUUAAGAACCCAAUAUGUACUACAUGUCCAAGUGUA
rnacentral:tRNA from 1 species